rnacentral:rRNA from 1 species
CCUUACAGCCAUACUACCCUGAUUGUGUCCAAUCUGGGCUAAUCUCAGAAGCUAAGCAGAGUCAGGACUGGUUAGUACUUGGAUGGGAGACCUCCUAGGAAUAUUGGGUGGUAUAGGCU